rnacentral:tRNA from 1 species
AAAAAGAUAAGCUAAAUAAAGCUAGUGGGUUCAUACCUCAUUUAUAAAGGUAUGACUCCUUUUCUUUUUA